rnacentral:rRNA from 1 species
UUAAGCGACUAAGCGUACACGGUGGAUGCCCUGGCAGUCAGAGGCGAUGAAGGACGUGCUAAUCUGCGAAAAGCGUCGGUAAGGUGAUAUGAACCGUUAUAACCGGCGAUGUCCGAAUGGGGAAACCCAGUGCAAUUCGUUGCACUAUCGUUAACUGAAUACAUAGGUUAACGAGGCGAACCGGGGGAACUGAAACAUCUAAGUACCCCGAGGAAAAGAAAUCAACCGAGAUUCCCCCAGUAGCGGCGAGCGAACGGGGAGCAGCCCAGAGUCUGAAUCAGCUUGUGUGUUAGUGGAACGGUCUGGAAAGUCCGACGGUACAGGGUGAUAGUCCCGUACACCAAAAUGCACAGGCUGUGAACUCGAAGAGUAGGGCGGGACACGUGGUAUCCUGUCUGAAUAUGGGGGGACCAUCCUCCAAGGCUAAAUACUCCUGACUGACCGAUAGUGAACCAGUACCGUGAGGGAAAGGCGAAAAGAACCCCGGCGAGGGGAGUGAAAAAGAACCUGAAACCGUGUACGUACAAGCAGUGGGAGCACCUUCGGGUGUGACUGCGUACCUUUUGUAUAAUGGGUCAGCGACUUAUAUUCUGUAGCAAGGUUAACCGUAUAGGGGAGCCGCAGGGAAACCGAGUCUUAACUGGGCGUUAAGUUGCAGGGUAUAGACCCGAAACCCGGUGAUCUAGCCAUGGGCAGGUUGAAGGUUGGGUAACACUAACUGGAGGACCGAACCGACUAAUGUUGAAAAAUUAGCGGAUGACUUGUGGCUGGGGGUGAAAGGCCAAUCAAACCGGGAGAUAGCUGGUUCUCCCCGAAAGCUAUUUAGGUAGCGCCUCGUGAAUUCAUCUUCGGGGGUAGAGCACUGUUUCGGCUAGGGGGUCAUCCCGACUUACCAACCCGAUGCAAACUACGAAUACCGAAGAAUGUUAUCACGGGAGACACACGGCGGGUGCUAACGUCCGUCGUGAAGAGGGAAACAACCCAGACCGCCAGCUAAGGUCCCAAAGUCAUGGUUAAGUGGGAAACGAUGUGGGAAGGCACAGACAGCCAGGAUGUUGGCUUAGAAGCAGCCAUCAUUUAAAGAAAGCGUAAUAGCUCACUGGUCGAGUCGGCCUGCGCGGAAGAUGUAACGGGGCUAAACCAUGCACCGAAGCUGCGGCAGCGACACUAUGUGUUGUUGGGUAGGGGAGCGUUCUGUAAGCCUGCGAAGGUGACCUGUGAGGGUUGCUGGAGGUAUCAGAAGUGCGAAUGCUGACAUAAGUAACGAUAAAGCGGGUGAAAAGCCCGCUCGCCGGAAGACCAAGGGUUCCUGUCCAACGUUAAUCGGGGCAGGGUGAGUCGACCCCUAAGGCGAGGCCGAAAGGCGUAGUCGAUGGGAAACAGGUUAAUAUUCCUGUACUUGGUGUUACUGCGAAGGGGGGACGGAGAAGGCUAUGUUAGCCGGGCGACGGUUGUCCCGGUUUAAGCAUGUAGGCUGGUUGUCCAGGCAAAUCCGGAUAAUCAAGGCUGAGGUGUGAUGACGAGGCACUACGGUGCUGAAGUAACAAAUGCCCUGCUUCCAGGAAAAGCCUCUAAGCAUCAGGUAACAUCAAAUCGUACCCCAAACCGACACAGGUGGUCAGGUAGAGAAUACCAAGGCGCUUGAGAGAACUCGGGUGAAGGAACUAGGCAAAAUGGUGCCGUAACUUCGGGAGAAGGCACGCUGGUGUGUAGGUGAAGCCCCUGCGGGUGGAGCUGAGACCAGUCGAAGAUACCAGCUGGCUGCAACUGUUUAUUAAAAACACAGCACUGUGCAAACACGAAAGUGGACGUAUACGGUGUGACGCCUGCCCGGUGCCGGAAGGUUAAUUGAUGGGGUUAUCCGUAAGGAGAAGCUCUUGAUCGAAGCCCCGGUAAACGGCGGCCGUAACUAUAACGGUCCUAAGGUAGCGAAAUUCCUUGUCGGGUAAGUUCCGACCUGCACGAAUGGCGUAAUGAUGGCCAGGCUGUCUCCACCCGAGACUCAGUGAAAUUGAACUCGCUGUGAAGAUGCAGUGUACCCGCGGCAAGACGGAAAGACCCCGUGAACCUUUACUAUAGCUUGACACUGAACAUUGAGCCUUGAUGUGUAGGAUAGGUGGGAGGCUUUGAAGCGUGGACGCCAGUCUGCGUGGAGCCAACCUUGAAAUACCACCCUUUAAUGUUUGAUGUUCUAACGUUGGCCCCUUACCGGGGUUGCGGACAGUGUCUGGUGGGUAGUUUGACUGGGGCGGUCUCCUCCCAAAGCGUAACGGAGGAGCACGAAGGUUAGCUAAUCCUGGUCGGACAUCAGGAGGUUAGUGCAAUGGCAUAAGCUAGCUUGACUGCGAGCGUGACGGCGCGAGCAGGUGCGAAAGCAGGUCAUAGUGAUCCGGUGGUUCUGAAUGGAAGGGCCAUCGCUCAACGGAUAAAAGGUACUCCGGGGAUAACAGGCUGAUACCGCCCAAGAGUUCAUAUCGACGGCGGUGUUUGGCACCUCGAUGUCGGCUCAUCACAUCCUGGGGCUGAAGUAGGUCCCAAGGGUAUGGCUGUUCGCCAUUUAAAGUGGUACGCGAGCUGGGUUUAGAACGUCGUGAGACAGUUCGGUCCCUAUCUGCCGUGGGCGCUGGAGAAUUGAGGGGGGCUGCUCCUAGUACGAGAGGACCGGAGUGGACGCAUCACUGGUGUUCGGGUUGUCAUGCCAAUGGCACUGCCCGGUAGCUAAAUGCGGAAGAGAUAAGUGCUGAAAGCAUCUAAGCACGAAACUUGCCCCGAGAUGAGUUCUCCCUGAGACUAUAAGUCUCCUGAAGGAACGUUGAAGACGACGACGUUGAUAGGCCGGGUGUGUAAGCGCAGCGAUGCGUUGAGCUAACCGGUACUAAUGAACCGUGAGGCUUAACCUU